rnacentral:rRNA from 1 species
CGUGUCCUACGGGGCGCAGCAGUGGGGAAUAUUGGGCAAUGGAGGAAACUCUGACCCAGCAAUGCCGCGUGAAUGAAGAAGGUCUUCGGAUUGUAAAGUUCUUUAGUCAGGGAAGAAGUCAAUGACGGUACCUGAAGAAGAAGCCCCGGCUAACUACGUGCCAGCAGCCGCGGUAAUACGUAGGGGGCAAGCGUUAUCCGGAUUUACUGGGUGUAAAGGGAGCGUAGACGGUGCAGCAAGUCUGAUGUGAAAGGUCGGGGCCCAACCCCGGGACUGCAUUGGAAACUGUUGAACUGGAGUACAGG